rnacentral:rRNA from 1 species
AGCGAACGCUGGCGGCAGGCCUAACACACGCAAGUCGAACGAAGUCUUCGGACUUAGUGGCGGACGGGUGAGUAACACGUGGGAACGUGCCUUUAGGUUCGGAAUAACUCAGGGAAACUUGUGCUAAUACCGAAUGCGCCCUUCGGGGGAAAGAUUUAUCGCCUUUAGAGCGGCCCGCGUCUGAUUAGCUAGUUGGUGGGGUAAUGGCCCACCAAGGCUACGAUCAGUAGCUGGUCUGAGAGGAUGACCAGCCACAUUGGGACUGAGACACGGCCCAAACUCCUACGGGAGGCAGCAGUGGGGAAUCUUGCGCAAUGGGCGAAAGCCUGACGCAGCCAUGCCGCGUGGAUGAUGAAGGUCUUAGGAUUGUAAAAUCCUUUCACCGGUGAAGAUAAUGACUGUAGCCGGAGAAGAAGCCCCGGCUAACUUCGUGCCAGCCGCCACAGUAAUAC